ACAUGCAAGUCGAACGCGAAAGUUUUCUUCGGAGAACGAGUAGAGUGGCGCACGGGUGAGUAACGCGUAAGUAAUCUACCCUGGUAUCUGGAAUAACCCACCGAAAGGUGUGCUAAUACCGGAUACGCUGAUUUAUCAGGAAAGAUAGCCUCUUCUUGAAAGCUAUCGUACCAGGAGGAGCUUGCGUACCAUUAGCUAGUUGGUAGGGUAAUGGCCUACCAAGGCGACGAUGGUUAGCGGGUCUGAGAGGAUGAUCCGCCACACUGGAACUGGAACACGGACCAGACUCCUACGGGAGGCAGCAGUGAGGAAUAUUGCGCAAUGGGGGAAACCCUGACGCAGCGACGCCGCGUGGAUGAUGAAGGCCUUCGGGUCGUAAAAUCCUGUCAGAUGGGAAGAAAUGUUACAUGUUCAACAGGCAUGUAAUUUGACGGUACCAUCAAAGGAAGCACCGGCUAACUCCGUGCCAGCAGCCGCGGUAAUACCGAGGGUGCAAGCGUUGUUCGGAAUUACUGGGCGUAAAGCGCGCGUAGGCGGCGUGUUAAGUCAAAUGUGAAAGUCCACCGCUCAACCCGGGAAGUGCAUUUGAAACUGGCAUGCUUG
rnacentral:rRNA from 1 species